GUGCUUUUUGUUUUGUUUUGUUUUUGAGAUAGGGUUUCCUUUUGUUGCCCAGGCUGGAGUGCAGUGGCGCAAUCACAGCUCACUGCAGCCUUGACCUCCUGGGCUCAGACGAUCCACCUCAGCUUCCAGGAUAGCUGGGACUACAGGUGUGUGCCACUACACCUGGCUGAUUUUUUGUAUUUUUUUUUUUUUUUUGGCAGAGAUUGGAUUUCACUAUAUUGCCCCAGCCAGUCUCAAACACUUAGGCUCAAGUAAUUUGCCCACCUUGGACUUGCAAAAUUCUGGGAUUACAGCUGCAAAAUUCUGGGAUUACAGCUGGGAUUACUGUGCCAGGGCUGUGCUUCUUGAUUUAAUAAAAUUUGGCAUUUGUGAUCAUGCAGUGAUCGUGUAAGACAUCUCUACUGCUUCCUUCCAUGUUAAUGUGGUUUAGCUGUGUCCACACCUAAAUCUCAACUUGAAUUGUAUCUCCCAGAAUUCCCUAGUGUUGUGGGAGGGGCCCAGGGGGAGGUAAUUGAAUCAUGGGGGCUGCUCUUUCCUGUGCUGUUCUCGUGAUAACGAAUAAGUCCCACAAGAUCUGAUGGGUUUAUCACGGGUUUCCACGUUUGCUUUUUCCUCAUUUUCUCUUGCCACCGCCACAUAAGAAGUGCCUUUCACCCCCACUGCCCCCUGGCUUGAUUCUGAGGCCUCCCCAGCCAUGUGGAACCAUAACAUUUAUGGCUGUUUUGAAUUGAAACGUGGAUGCACUUUGGAGCUGAUUAACCUUCAUCCUAUGUCUAUCAUUAAAGGGGAACAGCUAACAACCAGUUUAACGGCCCUCAUGGAGGAAUCAGUUCAACAUGAGAAUCGAGUUGCUUCAUCUCCGCAUCCCAAGACUUCACCCUGCACUCCUGGACCAGUCAACGAUCACACUUCAGUCCACUCCAAAACCCUUAAAAACCCUAG
rnacentral:lncRNA from 13 species